rnacentral:rRNA from 1 species
AUUGAACGCUGGCGGCAUGCUUUACACAUGUAAGUCGAACGGUAGAGGGGCAACCCUUGAGAGUGGCGAACGGGUGAGUAAUGCAUCGGAACGUGCCCAGUAGUGGGGGAUAGCCCGGCGAAAGCCGGAUUAAUACCGCAUGAGACCUGAGGGUGAAAGCGGGGGAUCGCAAGACCUCGCGCUAUUGGAGCGGCCGAUGUCAGAUUAGCUAGUUGGUGGGGUAAAGGCCUACCAAGGCGACAUCUGUAGCUGGUCUGAGAGGACGACCAGCCACACUGGGACUGAGACACGGCCCAAACUCCUACGGGAGGCAGCAGUGGGGAAUUUUGGACAAUGGGCGCAAGCCUGAUCCAGCCAUGCCGCGUGCGGGAAGAAGGCCUUCGGGUUGUAAACCGCUUUUGUCAGGGAAGAAAUCUUCUGGGCUAAUACCCUGGGAGGAUGACGGUACCUGAAGAAUAAGCACCGGCUAACUACGUGCCAGCCGCCGCAGUAAAAC